rnacentral:rRNA from 1 species
UGGGGAAUAUUGCACAAUGGGCGCAAGCCUGAUGCAGCCAUACCGCGUGUAUGAAGAAGGCCUUCGGGUUGUAAAGUACUUUCAGCGGGGAGGAAGGUGUUGUGGUUAAUAACCUCAGCAAUUGACGUUACCCGCAGAAGAAGCACCGGCUAACUCCGUGCCAGCAGCCGCGGUAAUACGGAGGGUGCAAGCGUUAAUCGGAAUUACUGGGCGUAAAGCGCACGCAGGCGGUCUGUCAAGUCGGAUGUGAAAUCCCCGGGCUCAACCUGGGAACUGCAUCCGAAACUGGCAGGCUUGAGUCUUGUAGAGGGGGGUAGAAUUCCAGGUGUAGCGGUGAAAUGCGUAGAGAUCUGGAGGAAUACCGGUGGCGAAGGCGGCCCCCUGGACAAAGACUGACGCUCAGGUGCGAAAGCGUGGGGAGCAAACA